UACGUAGGGUGCAGGCGUUAAUCGGAAUUACUGGGCGUAAAGCGUGCGCAGGCGGUUUCUUAAGUCAGAUGUGAAAGCCCCGGGCUUAACCUGGGAACUGCGUUUGAAACUGAGGGACUCGAGUGUGGCAGAGGGGGGUGGAAUUCCACGUGUAGCAGUGAAAUGCGUAGAUAUGUGGAGGAACACCGAUGGCGAAGGCAGCCCCCUGGGCUAACACUGACGCUCAUGCACGAAAGCGUGGGGAGCAAACAGG
rnacentral:rRNA from 1 species